rnacentral:rRNA from 1 species
GACGAACGCUGGCGGCGUGCUUAACACAUGCAAGUCGAACGGAAAGGCCCUGCUUUUGUUGGGUGCUCGAGUGGCGAACGGGUGAGUAACACGUGAGUAACCUGCCCUUGACUUUGUGAUAACUCCAGGAAACUGGGGCUAAUACCGGAUAGGAGCUCCUGCUGCAUGGUGUGGGUUGGAAAGUUUCGGCGGUUGGGGAUGUACUCGCGGCUUAUCAGCUUGUUGGUGUGGUAGUUGCUUACCAAGGCUUUGACGGGUAGCCGGCCUGAGAGGGUGACCGGCCACAUUGGGACUGAGAGACGGCCCAGAAUCCUACGGGAGGCAGUAGUGGGGAAUAUUGCACAAUGGGGGGAAGCCUGAUGCAGAAACGCCGCGUGCGGGAUAACGGCCUUCGGGUUGUAAACCACUUUCGACUGUGACGAAGCGUGAGUGACGGUAAUGGGUAAAGAAGCACCGGCUAACUACGUG